ACGGUGAAGCCAAGCUUGCUUGGUGGAUCAGUGGCGAACGGGUGAGUAACACGUGAGCAACCUGCCCUGGACUCUGGGAUAAGCGCUGGAAACGGCGUCUAAUACUGGAUAUGAGCUCUCAUCGCAUGGUGGGGGUUGGAAAGAUUUUUCGGUCUGGGAUGGGCUCGCGGCCUAUCAGCUUGUUGGUGAGGUAAUGGCUCACCAAGGCGUCGACGGGUAGCCGGCCUGAGAGGGUGACCGGCCACACUGGGACUGAGACACGGCCCAGACUCCUACGGGAGGCAGCAGUGGGGAAUAUUGCACAAUGGGCGGAAGCCUGAUGCAGCAACGCCGCGUGAGGGAUGACGGCCUUCGGGUUGUAAACCUCUUUUAGCAGGGAAGAAGCGAGAGUGACGGUACCUGCAGAAAAAGCGCCGGCUAACUACGUGCCAGCAGCCGCGGUAAUACGUAGGGCGCAAGCGUUAUCCGGAAUUAUUGGGCGUAAAGAGCUCGUAGGCGGUUUGUCGCGUCUGCUGUGAAAUCCCGAGGCUCAACCUCGGGCCUGCAGUGGGUACGGGCAGACUAGAGUGCGGUAGGGGAGAUUGGAAUUCCUGGUGUAGCGGUGGAAUGCGCAGAUAUCAGGAGGAACACCGAUGGCGAAGGCAGAUCUCUGGGCCGUAACUGACGCUGAGGAGCGAAAGGGUGGGGAGCAAACAGGCUUAGAUACCCUGGUAGUCCACCCCGUAAACGUUGGGAACUAGUUGUGGGGACCAUUCCACGGUUUCCGUGACGCAGCUAACGCAUUAAGUUCCCCGCCUGGGGAGUACGGCCGCAAGGCUAAAACUCAAAGGAAUUGACGGGGACCCGCACAAGCGGCGGAGCAUGCGGAUUAAUUCGAUGCAACGCGAAGAACCUUACCAAGGCUUGACAUAUACGAGAACGGGCCAGAAAUGGUCAACUCUUUGGACACUCGUAAACAGGUGGUGCAUGGUUGUCGUCAGCUCGUGUCGUGAGAUGUUGGGUUAAGUCCCGCAACGAGCGCAACCCUCGUUCUAUGUUGCCAGCACGUAAUGGUGGGAACUCAUGGGAUACUGCCGGGGUCAACUCGGAGGAAGGUGGGGAUGACGUCAAAUCAUCAUGCCCCUUAUGUCUUGGGCUUCACGCAUGCUACAAUGGCCGGUACAAAGGGCUGCAAUACCGUGAGGUGGAGCGAAUCCCAAAAAGCCGGUCCCAGUUCGGAUUGAGGUCUGCAACUCGACCUCAUGAAGUCGGAGUCGCUAGUAAUCGCAGAUCAGCAACGCUGCGGUGAAUACGUUCCCGGGUCUUGUACACACCGCCCGUCAAGUCAUGAAAGUCGGUAACACCUGAAGCCGGUUGCCCAACCCUUGUGGAGGGAGC
rnacentral:rRNA from 1 species